CCCGCGCGCAUUCCAGCGGCCGCGUCACCGUUCCGGGAAGCGGGUGGCGUCACCCCGCCAUCCCUCCCUGCCUCCCUCCCUCCCUCCCUCUCUCGGUCGCUCCGUGCCGCUGUCCGUGCCGCGGCGGCGGGGCGGGCCCGGGAACAAAGGCGCGAUAAAAAUAGAAGUCCCAGGUUCUCCCUGUGCUGUUGCUGCCCGAGCACCCAGCGCUGUCCCUGGGCAAUGCAGAUGGAUCCCUGCCCAACCCCUGUGGUGCUGUGAGCCUCCCUUCACCUGGAUCUCGGGAAACAGGCUCAUCUCGGAGUCAGAGAGCAAGAGCAAGCUGCGUGUUCAGUGACGUGAUUCAGAAACCUAAAUGGGAUCAGGGUUGUGCUGUGUGACACAAUGAGAAGCUAAUGAUGUUCAAGAAUAAGGAACAGUAAUUAUGCCCUGCUGUUGUAAUUUUAUUAUAAAAACUCAUUGAUGCCUUCCGUUCUGUGUAUGAGCUGUUAACUGGUCAAUUGCCAGAAGCCUUUCUCCAGAUUUUAUUCAGUUCUCAGAGUGUUUUCCCAUCCUGGGCUGAGAAGAAGACCAAGAGGGAGCAUUUUAGGGUCUGUGCCACGCAGCAGGGUCAGGAGCCUCCAGGACUCCUCUGCAAGGCUGACAAAGCAGCAAAUCCAGCCCUCACAGCCAAGUGCCUGUGCUUUGUGUGCGUGUCCCAGUAAACCAGGGGUGUGCCGUGUUCUCUGCUCCGCACUCGCCUUCGGGAGCUUUCCCUGGAGCGGGUUCCCCGAGCGGGGUGCAGCGCGGUGUCCCUGCCCAGCUCGGCUGUGCUCUGCCGCCUUCUCGCGGUCACCCAGCGCUCGCAGCCUCCGCUCCCUCCGCGCUGCUCCCGCCUUAGCGCCGUCCCUCAAGGGCCGUGCAAGGCCCUGGAAAUGUUGCUAAAAGUAACAAAAGCGUUUAGGAAGAAAGCGAAGAGGAGAGCCGCGAAGAUGCUCAGAGGGCUGGAGCGCCUUUCCCGUGCAGACCGGCUGAGAGGAUGCGGCUGUUCAGCCUGGAAAAGGGAAGGCUCCCGGGAAAUCUCAUUGUGCUUAGAGGGAGCCGAUACAAUCAGGGAGAGCAACUUUUUACUCGGGCAAGGAUGAACAAUUUUAUACUGACACAGGAGGGACUUAGAAUAGAUAUUAGGAUGAAAUUCUUUAGUGAGGCACUGGCACAGGUGGCCCAGAGAAGCUGUGGGUGCUCCAUCCCUGGAAGUGUUCAAAGCCAGCUUGGAUGGGGCUCCGAGCAGCCUGGGAUAGUGGGUGGCAUCCCUGCCUGGGACAGGGGAUUUGGCACUUGAUGACCUGUAAGGUCCCGUCCCAAACCAUUUUAUGAUUCUCUGAUAAGUUCUUAACAGAGGAACUUCAUAACAAAGCUGAUUUGAACUGGGACUUGGCUAAAAUAAUUCAGUUUCAAGGUUUUUUGUGAUAAACAAAUACUGGGACUUUGCUAAAAUAAUUCAGUUUCAGGGGGUUUUGUGAUAAACAAGUACUGGGACUUUGCUAAAAUAAUUCCAUUCCAGGUUUAGCUGGCUGUCUCAGCAAUCAUUUUGUUGUUCCUUGGAGUCAAAUGAAGGAAAAUUUGUUGGAAAAAUACAAAACAUUAGGUCAAGAGGUCUGAGUUACUACUCUGUUUCAACUGUAAAGUGUUGAUGAAACUUUGGAUGUAGCUUUUUUCCUGCAAUUUUCUGUAUGGAGAACAGAGGGACAAUAACAGCUACUUUAUCACAGUGUUUGAUUGAAACAAAGUCCUCAGUGCAAAGAUUAUGUGGUGUAAAAACCAAUAGGACAUUUCCCAGUGGGACCCAAUAGGACCCAAGUUCUUUCAGAGAAUUCUGUCUCAGGAGUUUUAUUUUUUAAAUACUUUUACAAAAUCAAGGUGACCUCAUGCCGAAUUAAAGUUUCUCGCUAAAUUCUUACUGGGAAGCAGAAGAAAACUAAGGAAAAAUAUUUACUUUUCAUGUAAGCAUAUAAGAAUAGGUUUUUCGAUUUGUUUAUACCUAACUGAUUAAAUAAUUGAUUAUUAAUCAGUUGUUGAUUUGACCUUUAAAUUAAAAAAAAUAUUUUGCAAUACCUAGAUAGUAAUAAUAACUUUAUUACUGUCUGGUAUCCAUCCACCUGUAGUGAUGUACAGGUGAAAAUUCUACCGUGUACCCUCUUGAUAAUUAAUAACUCUUCUAAUGGAAGAAAAUACACAUGCUUUUUUCUGCACUCCUCCAAAGGAGUAAGGAGAGAAAUAAAGACAUUCAUAAAUAUUGUUUCCAGCCAUGCCACUUUUUUCUGAACAGAGCAGUAGUCUGAGGGACUUUAUAUCUCCAGAGUACAGCAGUUAGGGAAGACUUGAUGAUUUUCAUGAGUAAAGACAGAGGAAGAGGUGUCUCUGGUUUUGUCUCUCUUUUCAGAGGCACUGUUCAGCACUCAGCAGAUGGACAGCUUUAGUUCAUUUGAGUGUCACGACUGGGCAGCAAAAUUAGCACUGAUUAAAGCUGAUUUGAGGGCUGGCAGAUUUCUGUCAAUGGGCUGCAGCUCAGUGUGUUGCUGUAAAAUCAUCCGUGAUGGAUUUGCUGUGGAGGACAUGGCAGGAAAUGGGACUGCUCAGACAAGGCACAUCCUUCUGUGCCCCUAGCAAAGAGCUGCUUGCAGGGCUGGCUUGCUUGGCCUGGGACAGCCCCCUGACAUCCAGGGUCUGAGCCACUGAAGAGUUGCUUUGAAUUCUGUCACCAUCAUAUUUUCUGAAAAAUCCCCUUGCCCAGGAUGUCUCUCCUGGGAAACUGAGAAGCCUCAGAGAAAAAGGAAAACCAUAUUAUCUCAUUUGCUUCUCCUGUGUUUUGCUGCUUUGGAAUGUGGUUGGAGAUUGUUUAUCCAACAUGUGAAUUUUUUUUACUUAAUGACUGAUCACCAUCCAGCUGUGUCAAGGCUCUGGAGAGAGUCACAAGUUUUUCUUUAUUAUCUUUCAGCCUUCUGUAAGUAUCCUUUCUCUAUUUAUUAUAGCAUAGUAUAGCAUUCUUUAAUACAAUAUCCUAUCAUAAAAUAAUAAAUUAGCCUUCUGUGAACAUGGAGUCAGAUUCAUCAUUCCUGCCUUCAUCCAGGGGACCCUGAAUAUACCACAGACUUCAAUACACUCUUCUUCAAUACACUUCAGGGUGGUGCCCCACCCUUAAGAGUAAGGAGGCACCCAAGAUUCAUAAAUGCUCAUGGGCAAAAGGAAUGACAAAAGCCAGAGGGUCUGCAAACAACCAGAAAACUUUAUUAGUGAAUUGCACACUUGGCAGGGAAAUUGGUGUGUUGGUCCCUGACCUAUUGUAUAAGCAUGUGGUGUGGGUCUGGGAUAAAGGGCUGGGGUGAAAAGGAAGGCAGGAAGGAAGAGAUUAAUUAAAGAGAAAAAAGGAGACAGAAAGAGAUCACCAGUCCUGGUUUCAGCAUCGGCUCCUCUCUGCUAUUAAUUACUAAUAAUUAUUUGGUAUCUCAGUUUUUUUCAUAAGCAGUAUAUCCUGCUAAUUUUGGCUCAUAUUAUCUGGUGUUACCCCAUGGAUUGAUGUGCUUUUCUCUUUAAAAGCUCUUUAAACACAUCCCUUAACUGUAUUCCUAACUCCUCAUCCUGCAUUAUUGUCAGUGAAGUCAGCAAUUGCCUGCCUUUAAUUCUUCUCUAAAUAUGGAAGACCUAACCCAUUUCCUGCUCUUUUCAUAUAGAUCUUUCAAGUUUGUAAGGGUCAAGCCUUUUACAAAAUAAUUACUCAACAUGUAGCAUGAGUAGCAUGUAGCAGUUGAUUUUUCCAAAUAAAUUACUUUUAAAUUAAUAUUGUGAAUAUUUACUUUAAAAAUGUAACCCUGUGUUUCCCUUCUUUUUCUUCAUCUUGUCUUCAGAUUUUUGAGUUUGCCCUUUUAUUGUGGUUUAGACUUCCAAAUAAGCUAUAUUUUUAUGGACAAGAAAUAGUUUAGAUAUGGCAGGAAAGACAUGGAAUUUUUAAUAACAAAUACUAGUAGAUACUAGUAGACAUUAGAUACUACUAAUGUCUACUAGUAAAGUUAAUAAUUUGUUUCUCCUUGGUCUUACAUGAAGAUCAAACCACUUAAUACUAGGAUUUACAACUGAUUCUCUGGAAUUUUUAUCAGUAUUAACUGGGAGCUCUAUUUACUAUGCAGUUAAAAAUAAUAGAGUUGAGGUUAAAGAAAAUAUUUGAAUAGAAGAUAGUAGAUGUGAAAAAAACAUGUCUGAAUGGCAAAGCACUGGAAUGAGAUCCUGGGUUGGCACAGAACAUUGUGGCUUCAGGGAAGUUAAUAGACCUGUCCCAAUUCACAUGUAGAGUUCAGAAGCAAAACAAUGGAAAUUAAGCUUUAGGGGGAAAAAAAGGGAGAACCUUUUACUCUGAGGCUUGACUUCAUUGUUUUGGGGGUGGGAACCCAGUGAGGAAGUCUGUAGGUUGCAUGAAAAAUGCACAGCAGAGAUUAAAGUAGCGCUUCAGCCACUGGAAUAUUUUUUUUUUCUCUUUCUGUAUGUCUGGUAGGUGGCUCAUAAAUGUUUUCUUAUGCACCACGCAGGGUCCCGGGCGGGCUCAGCAGGUGGCAGAGUUUGUCUCCAGCUCUGUUCCGAAGCGCACACGGAUGCAGCAGCCGCUGGAUGUCCCCCUUGCUCCGCUUUCCUGCACAAGGAGCAGCCUGCCGGAGGGACCCUCCUGCAGCUGGCAGGGACAGAGGGACAGUGUGCGGGCCAGCUGCUCGCUGCUGCCCAGCUGCCUGCCAUGGUGUGACACAGCUCUCAGCACAAGAGAUGGAGAGGUAUCAGCAAGACUGACAGAUGAGAAAUGCGGUUUUCUUCCAUUACAAGAGCACUUUUUUCUCCCCACCCCAUUCUUCUCAGCUGUGCUCUGUGCCACUCUACUAAACCUGCUGCCCAUAACUGAAGACUAUUUGAAAACACAAGUUAGAAUUUAUAAUGCCUUUCUCAACAGUUCCCAUCUGUAAGUUCUCUGUUAGGCAGGAUAGAAGAGAGGCACCAGGUAAAUGUUCUUUUUUCAUGCCAGGGGGUUCUGGCCCAGAUCAGUAGAGCUGGGAGCACCUUUAUAUCAACGAGAACUAGAUUUCCCCUUUCUGGAAGUGUCUGCACUCUCUGCUUUCUCUGUUCUGAAACAGAAUUGAGAGAGACUUCAGAACUUCCAGUGAAAUCCUGCUCUGAAGAAGUGGGCAUUAGGACAGAAUUUUGGUUACUUCUGUGAGUCAAGGGUACAGGACCAGGUUCUUUGUGUUGCUCAGCUGCUGUGUUGGAAAGGCAAUGGAAAUGAUCAGCCCUUGUUUGUUAGGGGCAUCAGAAAUACCUGAAUGCAGCAGAACUCUUCAGAAACUCUGUGGAGGCUGAGAACCUCAAGGUGUCUGACUUGUGUGGGACCAAAGAGUUCUGCACUGCUGCCCAGCACAGAGCUCUCAGGGAUGGGAGCUCAGGGGAGAACAGAAUGGUGCCUCAGGCAGUGCCUUCAGCAGGACCCAUCAAGACAGGGUAAGAACUUGCUAUUCACAGAGUUCCUCCUUUGGCUCCUGUGGUGUAAAGGUACCUGUUCCUCCAGCUACAUGGAAAAAACCUGUAAAAUAAUUAAAAUUCAAGAAGCCUGGAUUUAUAUGAAAUAACACCAAUGGAGAUCUGGGAUGAUUCCAUCCAAAGCACUGCAGUCAUGCUGUUUCUGAAAGGAUAUCUAAAGGUAUUCCAGUGAUUAUUAUGUGACUACCAGCAGUGUGCACAAGGAAAAAUACAAGUGGCCAGCAGAUUCCCAGCUGUGAAGAAAAUACAUUCAGUAAAAUGAUUUUUCAGCUAGUACCAAGAAAAACCCUGAUUUAUUUCUGUUGUUCUUAAAUCAAACAGCCUAGUGGGAGAGAUUUUUUUAAGGGUAACAUAAACCAGAUACAUUUAAAAGAUCCAGACUUUGUGUUUUCACAGUACCAUGAGGAAUUUACACACACUGCCUCCAACAGGCCUUGCAAUAAAAUGAGCUGCAGUAUUGUAAAAUAAUGGUUUGUAACUAUUUUCCUUUGUAUUAAAGCUCCCCAUAAAUAGAUAUUGUUUGGAUCAACAUGGGGCAAACCUCACUCACUUCAGCUGAAAGAUGAAGCACCACAAAGUGAUACCUCUUUGGAGUGAGGAAAGUAAAGUUAGAGUUCCAUAAAGUAGCAUUCUCGAUGCUAUAGCCAUCUUGGGGUGCCACCAGCCCAAAUGUCAGGCCAACAUUACCUUCCUCAAGAGGCUGGAAGUCACAGCAGGGAUAAAAGUCACAAGGAAUUCAAGGAAAACACCAGCUUGUUUAACAGCUAGGAAGCCCUUAAGGAUGGCAAAGCUGCAGUGAAGCUGAGAGCUGCAGUCUCAUUUCUGUGUCCCAGGUCACCUCUUCACUGGCUAAACUCCAGCCUUCUUUCUUAAACUGCAGUGGGCAUCAUUUAAAGACAAAAUGGGAAAAAUUGUAAGUUAUGGUCUGAACAGCAGCAGUGUGAUUUUCCAUGAAUCCAGGCACCUGCAAGGUAUCAAAGCCAAAGGCAUUGUAUUUUUGGAAAAUGAGACUGAGGUUGUCAAGUAAGGAGCCAGCAGCAUGAGCUGUUUAAUUCCUGCUGAUUUCCCCAGAACUGUAUCCAAGAGGAUGUCACACUUUUCUGUUCUCAAGUUCAACCUUAUCUCUGAGAGCAUCAGCAAGUUUCACCUCUUCUGAAAGAGCACUCUCCUGGGAUUUAUUUAUAAUCUCCUGCUGCUUCUUGUAAGUCAAGUUUCACUCCCCUUCCUUUGCUCUGCCUCACAUCAUUAUAUCGCACUGGUAGGCUGCUGCUUCACAUAUGAACCUUUCAGCAGCCUGUUGUCUUCCAGCUGCAAGACAUGCUAAGCUCAAAGGAGACCAUUCAGAGGAAUGGGAAGCAAUUUAGGGACAAUAAUAAUAUUUAAUGUGUAGAAUCACAGAGUCUAAGCACAUACCAAACAUCCCUGCUAAGCUCAUGUUCCUAAAAUCCUUUCAAGUUCACUAAAAUUGAUAGGUUGGUCUUUACACACAUUAAUACUGAGAGUUUUUCAGCUAUCCCUACAAGCACAUUUCUGCCUAUCAUUUUUGUUGCGUCAGAGUGUUAUUUGUGACCUGGUCAGUUUAAGAAAUACAUGAAUACAUGUUUUAAAAGACUGUAAGAUUGCUGCUGCAUUUGUCUAAAUUGCUGGAUCUGUCUGCUGUGUAUAUCAGGUGCACAUGUACCUUUGUCUUUGUGCAACAUGAAAAUACUUCAGAAAUGCCUUGGAAGUCCCACUGCUCUAUUCUUAAAAAGUCUUGCAUCUAUUUUAAAGUUACAGAGUAUGGUGAAAAAAUAAAUAAGGAAAAAUCCUUGAAAUGCCUGAGACACUUCCAAGACAUGUUACCUAAGAAUGUGAUCUCAAUUUAAACACAUAAUCCCUUUGAUUAUCUCUUUUGCCUUAGGUAUACUUAGGUGUGCUGCACAGUUCAGAAUGUACACUUUGGUUUUUUGUGGAAUGAAAUUUAUUCUUGUUAGUAAAGUUUUUAGGAGUUUUGCUCAAACUUAAAAAUUAACAAAGGGAUAAAUGUAAUUAAUAAUUUUGAGUUUACCUGGACUUUUAUCUGCAGUGUAAAAUAAAGCUAUGGAGGCACAGCCCCCAACAAGGCAAAUAACCUUCCUAGGAUACUCUUGAUCUGGCAUGGCUAUUUUGAACCAGUUAUCAGUUUAAUCUAUAAGUUACCCUGCAGGCAGUGACUUGCUUGGUAACUAGCUCUGUGUAUCCAACACAAAUGAUUGUGGAAUCCCUGCAAAGCAGCACAGAACAAGGCACGAGGAAGUUUUCAGUCACCAUCUAAUUCUGUCUGCCCAAACUGCCUGAAACAAGUGCCACCUUUAAGGAUUAUUUUUUCCAUUCAAUGCUUUUGUUGUCUACAAAAGAAAGGUGAAAGCUCUAAGUUUCAGCUCUACCUUCAGAUAUUCCUGCUAGCUUAGGCCUGGCUUGAUUCAGUUCAUGUGUUUGACACUUUGUACACCACUGUCUCUUUAAAGCCCCAGGAGAAGUGGAUUAAAAUUUUCACAGUGCAAGGGUUUAGAUUCAAGUCUUUUUCAAGGCUUUAUCUGCUGCCUUUGCACAGUAUGGGAAAACUUUCAGCAAAAUCUGGAAGGUAAAAUAUAGACCCUGGGACAGUGAUUUCCUUUUUCAGAGAGGUUUCUUUAAGUAGAGGGAAAAUGAGGUCAUAUUUUGAUUUCUCUUGGCUGGCUUAUCUCCAAGAUGGCCUACACCCAGUUUCUUCUAAACUUUUCACUUCUCAGGAGAUAAUAUCUCAUGUCAGAAUGAUAAAGACUCGUGUCAAGAAGUACUGCAGAACAUGGUAAGCUGAACAUUCAUCAACAGUACAAAAUUUCUGAUGGCAAGAGCUACAAAUAACUUACAGGAAACAUUAAAAGAAAUUGUUUAUUCAAGAGUACUUCCUGUGGCUCUGCAGUUCAUCCAGGUGCACAAGCUCUAUUUUUCACAGAACAUUCAUCUCUGUUUCUCUUAGUUUGGAUUUCUCAUCAACAGAUUACCCAAGCCAAGAUUUAAGUGUAAGUUUUGUAAACAAGUAAAUUAGGAUUCACACUUUCUACUGAACAGAAGGAAAAAAGCUAAACCAAAAGGUGUCAUGUAAAGCC